CUAAUUUUUCUAGACUCAUUGAGUUCCACGCAGAAAUAAUGGAAUGAUAAAUAAAUGGUUUAUUUAAAAAAAAA